UCAGAUCAUGUGAAGGCAGCACAUUGGAAACAGCUGCUUGCUCCUCAGGAGAGUAUUUUAGGAAGCUGUGUUUGGAGGAUAAAUACAGCUCUUUCUAUGGGUGCAGGCUAUAGUUUCCAGACAGAUGUUAGAAAGCUUGCUGCUGAUCAAGACCCCCUGCAGAACAUCUCACAGAUUUAAGAGGCGGAGCUGAAGAAGCCACUUGGGAGAUGUUGAGUCAGUCAAAUACUUCAAGGACAGCCCCCUCCUCGAUCACAUGCAGUCCCACCCGCCAGCUGACAAGGAGAACCGCAUUGCCUUGCCUCUAACUUUUGGUUCCCGUGAAGUGCCGAGAGAUGGCGUUGCGCCCGGAGGCCAGCCGUUUGCCAGCUGCUGGUUCCUUUGCCCAGCGUAAGGCGGAGGAGCCACCUUGGGGCAGGGAUAACAUCACCGGCUCCUGCUCUCCAGGAACUGCUUCGCUGUUGCCUGUGACACCUGGAUGCCAGAUGCCGGAUGCCAUCUGACAUCGCUGCCCUGCCGGAGGGACGGAGUGUUCGUGAAUCGUCCCAAGUCUCGGAAGUUUCUCUUUGCCACUUCUUUUGGUUCCCGUGAAGUGCCGAGAUACACACGCAGUCAGGCAAGUA